rnacentral:ribozyme from 1 species
GUUAAUUAUAGACCGACCGAUGGUUCUUUUCUUUUCUUUAUUGAGGUCGGUCAAUUAACUUUUGAUCAAAGAAAAUGAUCUGGCGGGAUAAUGCUUCCAUCGGCUGUCUUAACCUUUCUUUUAUGAAGCGCUGAGCUGCAGCUCAUGAUUGAGCGCUUCAUUUAAUAAAAGAAAGGAUGACAGCCAUG